CUCCGGGGUCAAGGCCCCAAGGGGGGGGCGGAGGAGGGGCCGGGGACCCCCAGGGGUUUUGACUCUUGGGUAAACAGGCGCAGGGGUGGGGUUAACUCUGUGGAGGUGGAGUAGGGGCUUGGGGAGGACGCAGUGUCCCGGGCUGGGACCCAAGAGACCCUGUGGCUUCAGUGCUAACCCCUUCUAGUCUGGCCCAGAGAAGGAGGGUGAGACCAGCUCGGCCCGGCGGAAUCGCAUUGCCCAGGAGAUGGUUUCUCAGGGACUGCUGCCUCUCUUAGGGCCUGGGAGCCUGAAGCUCAUCCAUCUGUAUGGUUUCCAGCCAGAGAAAAGGCCAAAGAGAAACCCCUUCUGAAAGAAGAAAGAACACAGUUAGAAAAAACGGAAUAAAAUUAUAGCAUUACUUUUAAAAAAAAGGUUGGGAGUGGGGGAAGGAAUUCCCUGGCUGUCCAGUGCUUACUCAGUGCCUUCACGGCUGGGGCUGGGUUCAACCCCUGGUUGGGGAACUAAGUUUCCACAAGCCACACGGGGGGCCAAAAAAAGAAAGAAACAAAGAAAAGAAGAAAAAAAAAAAGGAACAUCCUUGACCUGUACAGAAAAUUAUCUGGAAGAUUAAUUUUAGAGUCUGAGACUCACCCUCACCCUGACCCACCCAGAUGUGUGACCCUCCAAGGCCCAUGCUCUUUCCAUGUAGAGCCCAGCACUGGAAGCCAUUUACAGUUCAUACUGCACCCAGUCUGCCAAAGCCAGUGGGAUUCUCCAUGUUGGUCAUUAACUCGGGCCUGGAGACUAGAAAAAAGGACGAUGUUGGACUGAUGUCAACCUGUUUCCAUUAACUCCUUUCCUGAGCUCUCCUCAACUUUUGUUGAGGGACAGAGCAUAAGGCAAUUUGACCAAGACCCAGAGGACUGGGUCAGGCAGGGCUGAAACGAUGAGGGAAACUUGAUCACCUGCAGAGACCAGGAGGUUGGCAACAUGCUCAAAGCAGCAUGCAAGUCUCCCCAGCCAGCCGGCUCCCACAGAUCUGCACACACUUACAUACAGAGCCUGGGAAGGGUCAGACGCCAUCCAGGCAGUCUCAGUCCUCCCUUCCCCUCCUCCCUCACUCCCGAGUCUCCCGCCCUACUGUCCUCCCCCACCUCCAGUUGACCAUGGCAUCGGAAGCAGAAAGAACAUUCCAGCGGUUUGCUGUCUUUGGAGAAUCAUCAAGCAGUGGCACGGAAAUGAACAACAAGAACUUCUCCAAGAUGUGCAAAGACUGUGGCAUUAUGGAUGGCAAGACGGUCACCUCCACGGACGUGGACAUUGUGUUCAGCAAAGUCAAGGCCAAGAAUGCCCGAACCAUCACAUUCCAACAGUUCCAGGAAGCAAUGAAGGAACUGGGCCAGAAGCGGUUCAAGGGGAAAAGCCCAGAUGAAGCCCUGGAGAACAUUUAUAGACUCAUGGAGGGCAAGGACCCAGCUACCACCAGUGCUACUAAAGCAACAACGGUGGGAGGGGUGAGCCGGCUGACAGACACCAGCAAGUACACAGGCACCCACAAGGAGCGCUUUGACGAGAGUGGCAAGGGCAAAGGCAUCGCGGGACGGGAAGACGUGACCCACAACUCAGGCUACUGAUUAUAGAUUCACAGGCAGAUGCAAAAAGUACAGAGAGGUCCCAUGUACCCUUCAGCCAGUUUCAUCCAAUGGUCAUAUCUUACAUAAUUCAGAUACAGAAGGUUUUAAAACCUUCUGUGACUACAGCUGGGCCCACUUCACCUCUGCCUUGUUAGAGGCAGGUUCUGGAGUUUGGGGGAUGUUAGGAGCAGCUUUGGAAAGGAAAAGGACGCAGGAAUCUUUAGGGUAACAGGUCAAAGAUAAACUUGAAACUCCAGUGAACCAAGGUGAGAAGGUUGGAAGGAAAAGAGGUCAGAGAAAAAAUAAAGGGUGACUAAAGAGGUUGGGAGCGUAAGGGAGAGACUGCACUGGGCUCCAUGGUGGAAGGAGGGUGGAAAGGACAGGUUACCUGAAGAGGGAAUCAGUGAUUCCAUAGAGAGGAGCAGACAGAGAGCUGAGUUGAGGCAGGUGGGGGGUGCUGGAGAAAUGAAGAUAAUGUGAGUCUAAGACUCUCAGGGAGGUUCCUAUAGCUAGAGAUACCCACCAUGUGGGCGAGCUAGUGGAGGGAAUCAUAAGGGAAAUGGGGAGGACUGAGAAGGGAAGGGUGGCAGGGAUGCGGAUUUGAGACUCGGAACUGGUGCCAUGGUGUAAGCUGAGGCUCUGGGCCUCCAGCCAGGGUUCAGGAUCUGGCCCAGUAGAUGAACAGUCACUGCCAACUGGACACAGUCAGCUUCUUGGGUGGGUAAAACUGUCUGUGGGAGAGGGAGGAUGGUAGCUGGGAUGAUGGGGGGAAGUAAACAAUUAGAAAGAGCCUAGAAAACAGUACAGCUUUGCAUGGAGACUAAAGCUCUGGACAUAUUUCCUACCUCCCAGUCUCUUGGGAGGGGACCCUGCCUACCUGUGAAGCCAGGAAGGAAGCCUUGUACCAGGGAUCAGAACUUCAGGAGUGAGGACAGGCUGGUCUGUAGUGGCGGUGGUGGGGCGAUUCAGACUGAAUGCCUCCCUUCCCUAGAACAGGCCAAUGAUACCUAUUGGUUCAGCAUCAUACUUUUGGGAGCAGAGCAGAUAGAGCCUUUGGUUGGUGAGGGUGCUAGUGUAGCGGCAGCUGGUGGGAGGCUGUUGGGAUUUCAGGGAGCAGAUUGUGAGGGGAAAGGAGUCCUGGGUGAGUGUACAGUAUUGGUUGUAAUUCUCACAGAAGCUCUCGCUGUACUUGCAGAACUUCUUGAUGGUGGUCCAAGGGGCAUGUAAGACAUAGUGGAUCUUUGGGCAAUACCAGCUUUGUUGUCUGCCUCGUAUGUAAGACAUCAUACCAUUGCAGUAGCCCUGGAAACCCUCUGCAAAGUCAGCCUUGGGAUAGUUGAUGUGUAAGGUACGGAAGUUCUUGAUGGCAAGCUGUAGCUUGAUAUUUUCGACCAAAGCUGGCCCUAGAACAAGCUGGAGGAAAAGGAGCUGGGCCACGGGUGAUGCCAUUCUUCCUGCUGGCAGAGUUAAGGUGGUUGGAGGCAGAGGUGGACCGGGAGUGACUGUCCGCCCCUUCCCAGCGCUUCCAGUGUGCCCCUACCCUUCCCUGUGCGCCUUCCCCUAUACCCUCAAAGCCGGACUGUCCUUCGGAGAUCAUCUGGCCCAAGUCCUCAUGUCUCAGAGAGAGGAGACAUUUGCCCAAGGUCACCCAGCUAGUCAGCCACCUCUAGCCAUUCCCCGCCCCCCCCUUAGGGUCUCAGCCUCACCCAGUCCGGGAGCUGUGACACUUACGAAAUACGAGGUCCAACCAGUCCUUGGGUGAGAGCCUCUUCCCAGUUAUCCCUGGCCUGGUUAAUCCCUCUGGGAAAAAUGCAGAGGGUCCGGAAGGGACAGGCUCAGCCACACUUCUCUGACUGAAGCUGAGGAAGGACCGGAGCUGGAAGGCAGCAGCGCAAGAGUGGGGCUCUUCCUGCCUGAGGCCAAGGAGAGCCCAAAGGCCCUGCUCCCACGGAAGGGUGACGAGGAAAGCACUGUCAUGUAUCUGAGGAACAAAGUGCUGCUUACUCCUGACCCUCAGAGAACAGAGGGUCUUCCACUCUCUCAUCCCACUCACAGGAGCCCCGGAGGCCACAUACACAAGGGCCUCCUGCCUGAGUGCUGGGCUGAGAAUCAAAGACCUCGGUGUGGAUCCCUCACCAUCCCCAGCAUCAACUUGACGCCAACUGUGAUCACACUGACAUUCUCACCUAUAAGCUCAGGCCCGCUCAGAGUCAGAGCACUCCUGGAAAUCUACGCACGCUGACCCUGAAGCCUCAGACUUGUCCGGUGGGAUCGGAGAGCAUAGCCUGAACUUGAGGGGGUGUGCGCCGCCUUUGCUCAGCAGAUCAGAUUCUUGCUGUAGUUUGCCAUGUUGAAGAAAAGGGCCAGGCUCCUAACCCUUUUUCAUCAACACCUGCCCCUUCAUGAGAGCCAAAGAGCUAGCUCCUUAAGGCCUGCCAGCCACAGGCCUCUCGGCCUUGCCUCCACCCACCUGUUGUCCAGGUUGUGGGCUUAGGACAGCUUAUCACUCUCUCCCUGGAGAUGGGGAGAGGGGAGUCAGAAUGGAGAACCCGGAGUGUUCCAAGGUCAGUGUGUCGUUCAGGAGGGGUGGGGGGGCUGCGCAGAGAGACGCAUGGGUGUUCCUCAUUCCCAGCGCCCUUAAACUUGCUCUUUCCGACAAGACAAAGUAGAAUCCAAAACGGAGCCCAUCAUCCCCCAACGUGCUUCCCCUCCUGCCUUGUUAGUUUCCUCAGUUACUUAUGCAAGAAAUCUGAGUGGUCCUUGACCCUGCCCUCUCCCUAAUCCCAGCUGUUUGGAGGUAGUACUGCCUGGUGGUUAAGAGCAAGCUUUAGAGUAAAGCUUUAGAGUAAAACGGACCAGGAAUUGAAUCCUGGCUCUACUGCUUCCAGGCUGUGCACCAUCGGUCUAAGUUCGCUAAACCAAUAUAAGCUUCAGUUUCUUCAUGAGGUAAUGAGGAUAAUAUUCUGUACCUCACGGCAGUAUUAGGGUUCGUUAAGUUGUGUAUCAAGAGCUCUUAGCCCAGCGCUUGGCACAUGGUGAGUAUUCAAUACGAGCAUGAGUCCAUCAGUCAUGCAGCUCUGACAAUCUUUUUUUCCUUUGUUAAUUAAAAAAAUUUAUUUAUUUGGCUGCACCACGUCUUAGUUGUGGUACGCAGGAUCUUCGUUGCCAUGUAUGGGAUCUUCGUUGUGGCAUGCAGCUCUUCGUGGUGGCACGUGGCUCUUAGCUUGCGACCUGCAGGAUCUAGUUCCUUGACCAGGGAUGGAACUCAGGCCCCGUGCAUAGAGAGCAUGGAGUCUUAACCGCUGGACCACCAGGGAAGUCCCAGCCCUGACAAUCAUAACUAAAACUUUUCCUGAACCUGUCUGUUCCAUUCCUACUUCUUCUGCUCAGGCUCGCCCGUCUCCCAGACACCACACACUCUCCAACUCCAGGAGGACUCUACACCUCACAGGACAGAAGACCUUCAUGACC